rnacentral:rRNA from 1 species
AGAGCGAACGCUGGCGGCAGGCCUAAAACAUGCAAGUCGAACGGAUCCUUCGGGAUUAGUGGCGGACGGGUGAGUAACACGUGGGAACGUGCCUUUUGGUUCGGAACAACUCAGGGAAACUUGAGCUAAUACCGAAUGUGCCCUUCGGGGGAAAGAUUUAUCGCCAUUAGAGCGGCCCGCGUCUGAUUAGCUAGUUGGUGAGGUAAAGGCUCACCAAGGCUACGAUCAGUAGCUGGUCUGAGAGGAUGAUCAGCCACACUGGGACUGAGACACGGCCCAGACUCCUACGGGAGGCAGCAGUUAGGAAUCUGCGCAAUGGGCGAAAGCCUGACGCAGCCAUGCCGCGUGAAUGAUGAAGGUCUUAGGAUUGUAAAAUUCUUUCAGCGGGGACGAUAAUGACGGUACCCGCAGAAGAAGCUCCGGCUAACUUCGCGCCAGCAGCCGC